GUCUAGGUCUUAUACAAUAUGUUAAUUGCCUUUACAAAGAUGCAUAAAUUUGAAGAGAUAGAACCUGUCGACAUUUUGGCUGGAUGUGCCCGAUUCAUCAUUGUGGGGCUUGGAGGGGUAUUGUUUGGCAUCGUUUUUGGAUUUAUUUCUGCAUUUAUCACACGUUUCACUCAGAAUAUCUCUGCAAUUGAGCCACUCAUCGUCUUCAUGUUCAGCUAUUUGUCUUACUUAGCUGCUGAAACCCUCUAUCUCUCCGGCAUCCUGGCAAUCACAGCCUGUGCAGUAACAAUGAAAAAGUACGUGGAAGAAAACGUGUCCCAGACAUCAUACACGACCAUCAAGUACUUCAUGAAGAUGCUGAGCAGCGUCAGCGAGACCUUAAUCUUCAUCUUCAUGGGUGUGUCCACCGUGGGCAAGAAUCACGAGUGGAACUGGGCCUUCAUCUGCUUCACCCUGGCCUUCUGCCAAAUCUGGAGAGCCAUCAGUAAGAGAGGGCAGGGCUCCAGAGUCUCCGGUCCUGCUGCAUUUUCAGUUCUCUUAUUCCCUUCUGCAAUGUUAAAACUGGAGGACUGAGUAGAUGCUAACUGGUUUUACCGGUUAGGGUAGACUAGGCACCUGGUCGUGAGCAGGAAUCUUUUCUGUUUGUCCCCUCAGUCAGCUCAAAGUAAUUAGUGGUUGGUAAGGUUCUGCACUGAAGCAAGGCUGGGGCAAGGAGUAUUUUUUUUUAAUUGAAGAAAGAACUUUCACAUCUACCUAUUUAAAUAUAAUUCAGUCAAUGGAAAAAUACAUGUUUGUUACUUUUUAUUUGGAGUUGCACC
rnacentral:sRNA from 1 species